AAUGUUUGAUUGCUGUGAGGCGAGUAGCUAUGAUUCCACUAUUUUCAUCUAAAGAAGCAUCCAAUUCUUCCAUGGCAUCCAACUUGCUACCUGAUAUACGUGCUGCUCAAAGCGAUGUAAUCAAUUUGCAAGAACAAUUAUGCUGAGAGGUAAACAUAUUAAAUCAAAACUAAUGUUCAGCAACUACCAUACUCUCACCAAUGACAACAGAUAGAAUAAACAGUUUUCUCAUAAAGAAAAAAAAA